AAUAAUACCCGGGUAGUCCACGCCGUAAACGAUGAGUGCUAAGUGUUAGGGGGUUUCCGCCCCUUAGUGCUGCAGCUAACGCAUUAAGCACUCCGCCUGGGGAGUACGGUCGCAAGACUGAAACUCAAAGGAAUUGACGGGGGCCCGCACAAGCGGUGGAGCAUGUGGUUUAAUUCGAAGCAACGCGAAGAACCUUACCAGGUCUUGACAUCCCAUUGACCACUAUGGAGACAUAGUUUUCCCUUCGGGGACAACGGUGACAGGUGGUGCAUGGUUGUCGUCAGCUCGUGUCGUGAGAUGUUGGGUUAAGUCCCGCAACGAGCGCAACCCUUGUUCUUAGUUGCCAUCAUUUAGUUGGGCACUCUAAGGAGACUGCCGGUGACAAACCGGAGGAAGGUGGGGAUGACGUCAAAUCAUCAUGCCCCUUAUGACCUGGGCUACACACGUGCUACAAUGGACGGUACAAACGGUUGCCAACCCGCGAGGGGAGCUAAUCCGAUAAAACCGUUCUCAGUUCGGAUUGUAGGCUGCAACUCGCCUACAUGAAGCCGG
rnacentral:rRNA from 1 species